rnacentral:tRNA from 1 species
GACGACGUAGCCAAAUGGGAAGGCUGCGGUCUGCAAAACCGCCAUCGAGCGUGUUCGAUUCACGCCGUCGUCUCCA